GGGUUGUGAGGUUAAGCGACUAAGCGUACACGGUGGAUGCCCUGGCAGUCAGAGGCGAUGAAGGACGUGCUAAUCUGCGAUAAGCGUCGGUAAGGUGAUAUGAACCGUUAUAACCGGCGAUUUCCGAAUGGGGAAACCCAGUGUGAUUCGUCACACUAUCAUUAACUGAAUCCAUAGGUUAAUGAGGCGAACCGGGGGAACUGAAACAUCUAAGUACCCCGAGGAAAAGAAAUCAACCGAGAUUCCCCCAGUAGCGGCGAGCGAACGGGGAGCAGCCCAGAGCCUGAAUCAGUGUGUGUGUUAGUGGAAGCGUCUGGAAAGGCGCGCGAUACAGGGUGACAGCCCCGUACACAAAAAUGCACAUGCUGUGAGCUCGAUGAGUAGGGCGGGACACGUGGUAUCCUGUCUGAAUAUGGGGGGACCAUCCUCCAAGGCUAAAUACUCCUGACUGACCGAUAGUGAACCAGUACCGUGAGGGAAAGGCGAAAAGAACCCCGGCGAGGGGAGUGAAAAAGAACCUGAAACCGUGUACGUACAAGCAGUGGGAGCACGCUUAGGCGUGUGACUGCGUACCUUUUGUAUAAUGGGUCAGCGACUUAUAUUCUGUAGCAAGGUUAACCGAAUAGGGGAGCCGAAGGGAAACCGAGUCUUAACUGGGCGUUAAGUUGCAGGGUAUAGACCCGAAACCCGGUGAUCUAGCCAUGGGCAGGUUGAAGGUUGGGUAACACUAACUGGAGGACCGAACCGACUAAUGUUGAAAAAUUAGCGGAUGACUUGUGGCUGGGGGUGAAAGGCCAAUCAAACCGGGAGAUAGCUGGUUCUCCCCGAAAGCUAUUUAGGUAGCGCCUCGUGAAUUCAUCUCCGCCAGCUAAGGUCCCAAAGUCAUGGUUAAGUGGGAAACGAUGUGGGAAGGCCCAGACAGCCAGGAUGUUGGCUUAGAAGCAGCCAUCAUUUAAAGAAAGCGUAAUAGCUCACUGGUCGAGUCGGCCUGCGCGGAAGAUGUAACGGGGCUAAACCAUGCACCGAAGCUGCGGCAGCGACGCUUAUGCGUUGUUGGGUAGGGGAGCGUUCUGUAAGCCUGUGAAGGUGUACUGUGAGGUAUGCUGGAGGUAUCAGAAGUGCGAAUGCUGACAUAAGUAACGAUAAAGCGGGUGAAAAGCCCGCUCGCCGGAAGACCAAGGGUUCCUGUCCAACGUUAAUCGGGGCAGGGUGAGUCGACCCCUAAGGCGAGGCCGAAAGGCGUAGUCGAUGGGAAACAGGUUAAUAUUCCUGUACUUGGUGUUACUGCGAAGGGGGGACGGAGAAGGCUAUGUUGGCCGGGCGACGGUUGUCCCGGUUUAAGCGUGUAGGCUGGUUUUCCAGGCAAAUCCGGAAAAUCAAGGCUGAGGCGUGAUGACGAGGCACUACGGUGCUGAAGCAACAAAUGCCCUGCUUCCAGGAAAAGCCUCUAAGCAUCAGGUAACAUCAAAUCGUACCCCAAACCGACACAGGUGGUCAGGUAGAGAAUACCAAGGCGCUUGAGAGAACUCGGGUGAAGGAACUAGGCAAAAUGGUGCCGUAACUUCGGGAGAAGGCACGCUGAUAUGUAGGUGAAG
rnacentral:rRNA from 1 species